rnacentral:rRNA from 1 species
UACGAGAGGCCCAACCGUUAUUCGGAUUUACUGGGCUUAAAGGGCGCGUAGGCGGCGCAACAAGUCACUUGUGAAAUCUCCGGGCUUAACCCGGAGCGGCCAAGUGAUACUGUCGUGCUAGAGUGCGGAAGGGGCUACUGGAAUUCUCGGUGUAGCGGUGAAAUGCGUAGAUAUCGAGAGGAACACCUGCGGCGAAGGCGGGUAGCUGGGCCGACACUGACGCUGAGGCGCGAAAGCCAGGGGAGCGAACGGG